CCUACGGGAGGCAGCAGUAGGGAAUAUUGCACCAUGGGCGAAAGCCUGAUGCAGCAACGCCGCGUGAGUGAUGAAGGCCUUCGGGUCGUAAAACUCUUUUCAAGGGGAAGAGGAAGGACGGUACCCUUGGAAUAAGCAUCGGCUAACUACGUGCCAGCAGCCGCGGUAACACGUAGGAUGCAAGCGUUAUUCGGAUUUACUGGGCGUAAAGCGCGUGUAGGCGGUUAGGAGAGUUGGAUGUGAAAGCUCCCGGCUUAACUGGGAGAGGUCGUUCAAAACUUCCUGACUAGAGUUUGGUAGAGGAAAAUGGAAUUCCGGGUGUAGUGGUGAAAUGCGUAGAUAUCCGGAGGAACACCAGUGGCGAAAGCGAUUUUCUGGACCGAUACUGACGCUCAGACGCGAAAGCUAGGGUAGCAAACGGGAUUAGAGACCCCGGUAGUCCUAGCUGUAAACGAUGUAGACUUGGCGUUGGGAGAGUAAAAUCAUCCAGUGCCGAAGCAAACGCGAUAAGUCUACCGCCUGGGGAGUACGGCCGCAAGGUUAAAACUCAAAGGAAUUGACGGGGCCCCGCACAAGCAGCGGAGCGUGUGGUUUAAUUCGAUGCUACACGAAGAACCUUACCAGGGUUUGACAUAUAAGUGGUAGGGAAGGGAAACCGGACCGACCCUUCGGGGAGCUAUGAGAAGGGCGAAUUCCCACCUUGG
rnacentral:rRNA from 1 species